rnacentral:lncRNA from 1 species
GCUAUUGCAUCUUAACAGGGAAGACAGGCUGAUGUGGAGGGCAGGUUGGACAUUAGAGGAAAGAAGAAGAGACCAUGCAGACUGCCUCAAGAGAGGCUGCUGGUUUUGAGGCCAGACAGGAGGGUCAUGAAACAGCUGUAGGAUGGCUCCACUCCACGGCUUCAGGAAGGAGGCAAGACAAGAUGAAAACAAGCAGUUCCAUCUCCAGGAAAAUCAGCUUUGUCUCAGACUACUGGUAAACAGGCAUCCCCUUGAGAAGGUUCUGCUGUAAGACACCCCGGCUUUAAUCUCCAAGGUUGCAGAGUGUCAACAUUACAAGGUUUGUGACCCACAACUCCCCUGAAGUUACUGGUUUCCCAAUUGUUGCUCAACCCUUGUCACAUAGGCCUAGCUAUGUUCUGUUACCCAGUCCCUCAUAGCAACAGGCUGCCUAGCAGUUUCUGGAACAACAUAACAUUCCAUAUAUCAGACUUGCAAGCUCUUCCAGUGAGCAUAAAGUGAGCAUAAGUGUUGUACCUUAACUUUCAUCGCUCUCUCAACAUAGUCUAUUACUAAGAUUUGUAAAUUUAUUUUCCUAUUCUGGUCCCACCACCUACUUUUCCUUCAUCUGCAUAUGAAGAUGCUUUGAAAUAUAUUCAAUUUUUUUCUUACCGCUAGAACGUGAAGUUCUUGUUGCUUUUUUUUUUGUUUUAUUACUUGCUCAAAUAUUGUUGUUUUAUUUUUCUUAAUUCUAAGUAUUCCUGUUGUUAUUACUUUUUCAAAAUGUCUAAAACAUUUGCUAAUUAUAUCUCUUUUCAUCAUAGAUUCAUUCUCCGUUUUUUUUUUUUUUAGACAACUCACAGGACGUUUUUUCUGUCACUACUCUAGGCAAC